rnacentral:lncRNA from 1 species
UUUAAGGUUAGCAGACAAAGAUUUUCCUGUUGGAUCACUUUUUACACUUAUGAUUGUGUAGCCAUAACCAACUUGUGUUUCUUUUGAUGGUGAAUCUGCAACAGUUUGGGAUAAGAUGACAAAAACAUUGAAACAGAAAGCUAGUAGUGGUAGUAGAAUGUUGCUGGUUUUAGUUCUUGGACUUGUAACCAUUUUGUUUGUGUUGAUGUGUUUAUUGUCUGUGGGAGACAAUUGAAAAUAAUCAUCAAUUUAUGUUUUGUAUACAAGAUUGGUUGAUCUAGGAGAAAACAAUGAAUGAUGGAGACAAGCCAUGUUGACUUAAAAGAUAAGAUGACAUUGUUACUAACAUUUUCCACUAAGAAGUAACAAUAGUUUUUUUUUUCUUCUUUUUUUAUUGCAAAUGUUACUAAAUUCUCCUUUGUGAGAAGAUUUUUAACUGUAGUAUUUUAACCCUACUUGAAAGGAGGUGACCUUAACUCUUUGUACUAACAAUUUUUUUGAGAGGACCACCACUUGAAAGGAUAUGAUCCAUCUUUAAACUAACCCUACUUGAAAGGAGGUGACCUUAACUCUUUCUACUAACAAUAGUUAAUAUGAUGGCGACUAUGUAAAUUGACUACUAGACAAAGAUGGGCAAUCACCAUUUUUCUUGUUCUUUUUGUUAUUAAAAAACAUAAUUAAUGAUAGCAGAUUUUUAUAUUAUAAAUUUCUAUUAAUAUGAUCGCAAAGGUUGAUCGAACUGAAAAAACCACUAGUCCAGCUCAAUGAUGGAGAGUGUUACCUGCAAACACUUGGCGCUCACAUCGCCAAGAGAAACCAUUGAGUAGUGUGUGUGUGUGUUCUCCUCGUGUGUCCCUCUCAUGUCAACGUGGCUCAUUCUUUGUUUCCUCCUACAUGAACUAACCUCUAUAAAUUUGUAGUUAUAGUCAUAGUUUUAAGAACCGGCCGGUUCAACCGUGAACCAUACCCAUUACCGGUUUGAGCCAGCUAUUGGAUCGGCCAUGUUAUUGACUCGGCUGCCACGUCAUAAACAAAGCUUAUAGCAUAAAAAAUUACAUACAAUACAAGUGUUUAUAUGUAAGCUAUUUCUAUAGGUUUAUGAGGCGUUAGCUCGAUGAUAAUAAUCUGACCUGCAAUUGCAAGAGACGGAGUUCAAAUUCAUGAGACAAUUGUAAAAUGGACAUUAACGCCACCAUAAUUUUAAUAAUAUUUCUCCUUCCCCAUUUUUUUUUAAAAUUGUUCCUUUUAAUAAACAACUAUUUCGAUAGCGAAAUAUAAAAUGAGGUCUGACUGUUUUCACAAGAUUAGCAUAGAGAGCUUGUGCAAAUAAUCCAAAAACAAUUUAUGAAUAUGUCAUAAACUGUUUUCAUAAGCUCUCGUAAACAAUCUCAAAUGUUUGUCGCGCAAUAAGCUCAAAUGGGACAAUUCAACCAGAUGUUGAUGAAUGUAUGGAAAAGGAAAGAAACACUUGAGAUAAUAUAAAUCAACUAAAUCUUGAGAUAAUAUAUAGAUUUGAUAGACAAAUAUAACUAUACUAGAUGAUACUUAUUUCUGAUCCCUUGUAGCAACCUUAACUAAGGUAAAACAAGGGACUCUUCAAAGAAGUAAAACUACUAAGAAAACACAUAUUAUUUUUGGAAAUUGCAUUCUCAAAUUUCCUUCUACCUUAUUUUAGUCUUCAGUUCAAACUGCUCUCCAAUAAGCUGUUUCAAAUUUGAAACUUCCACAGUAACAAACUUAGAAGACCUAUCAAAUUUUGUGAUCAAAACUCUUUUCCUCGUUGAAUUCAUUCCACUCACAACAUUUAACUCACUCUCAGCCAAAUCAUUUCCAUUUAACCUACCAUAAUUAGGUAUCCCCAAGAAUGUAACCUUUUCUAUGGUCCAUUUUUGGUCCAAAGCAAAUUUUCCAUUAGUAACAUUAGAAGUAACAGAAACACUGUCAUUAUUAUACAGUGCACCAUAAAAUCUCACAAGUGUCCAUUGAUCUUUCUCUCCUUCUAGAUCAAGAGCCUCACCAUCAUCCAAAUAAACUUGUCCAUAACUAUUUCCAUUUCCACUAAAAACAACCAAUAGUUCGAAUGCGGUGUUUCGAGCUGCUUUCGUUGUCAUUGCUUCACCUUGUAAGGCCAAAAUGUUACCUUCACCAACAUGCACAUUUAUGUGAUCAGAUGGUGCAUCAAGUGUGACAUAUUUGCCUGAUUCUGCACUCACUGAAUUUGAAGGAUUAAAGAGAUCAAACCAAUUUCCUUUAGGAAAGUAUGCAUCAACAGUAACUGCACCAGAUUGUAGCACAGGUGAGACUAGAACACCAUUGCCUAAUAGAAACUGCGAGUUUAUUUCGUAUGUUGUGAUAUCCUCGGGGAAUGAAAAGAAAAGUGGCCGCGCAAUUGGUGUCCCUUUUGUGUUUGAUUCGUACAUUAGUGUGUAGAAAUAUGGAAGAAGGCGGUAACGAAGGGCGAGCACUUUUCGAGCUGAUGCUGCAACUGAAUCCCAAAGGUAAAGCUCUUGCCUGAUGGAACUUUUAUCUGAAUGAUCUCUUGCAAAGGGGUAGAAGGCCCCUAACUACAUUCAAGAAAAUAAAAAAGUAUUAGAUAUGCAUGCAAUGAUGGAAAUAUUUUCCAUCAGGGUUUUAAAAACUUAGGUACUGUUCUAUAGAAACUGUUCCUACUGUUCUCAACUUACAGAUAGUGUAACUGUCACCAACAAUUUUGAAUGGAUGUGAAAAACUGUCCUUUUUGUUAGAAAAAGUAAGAGUACAGCACACAUUGAAUCUAAGUUUAGUCCUUUAAAGAAAGGCCUACCGCGCGAUGUGGAAAGUGACAUUAAGAUUUUUUAUGUUUAUACGACUGCAAUUGCGGCUUUAUCACCACGAUUCUCUGAAAUAUAAGAAUCGCAGCGUGUCUGCAAUUUAAAACCUUUCUUUACCUGUAGCCAAAAAUCACAGCUCUAUCCAUGUGUAACUUUUAUAAAUUUAGUCUAGUGAAAAAGUUGUGGAUGCUAUCCGAUUUUGAGGAUCAAUGUUUGUUACCUGAAUCCAGCGCCGACAAAGUUCUUCAGUAGUGUCUGCUGAGAAGCCGCAUAUAUCCGCUCCAACCAUAGGAACUCCAAAGAUUCCAAAGUUUAAUAUUGAUGGGAUUGAGUAUGCUAAAUCAUUCCAUGUAGCAGCAUUAUCUCCUGUCCAAUGAGCUGUAUACUUGCCAGAGCUAACAAAAGUUGAUCUACUCAAAAUGAAUGGUCUUUUACUAGUUAUUUCCACUAAGGCCCUGUUGGUUGUUUUGGAUUCUAAGAGACCAUACAAAUUGUGAGAAUCAUACUCAGUGAUAUUACCAUAAUGUAAAGAAGUUGCUGGCACCGUUUUAUUGUUGAUUGGUCGUUGAACGCCAGUACUGUUAAUUUUGUAAGGAGGGCUGUCAAGAUUAGAAUGAGGAGUGUCAUUCGAAGUUAUGAAAUUUGAUAACUCAUUCAUGUCAAGCCAAAUACCAUCAAAAGGGAGAAGUUCCCUAAAUAAUUUGAUUUCUUCACCCCAAAAUUCUUGGCUAUGAGGGUUAAGAAAAUCAGGAUAGUAAACUGGUCCUGGCCAAACUUCACCUAGAUAAUUGACUCCAUUUCUCUUUAGAUAGACAUCAGCUUGUAAGCCUCUAACAUAGGUUGCAUAUGUGUUAUUUACACUGAUACCUGUGUACAAAAAAGCAAUGACAUGUGCAUAUAUAUAUAUAUUUUUUUGAAUGGCAAAUAUAUAAUAUAGAAAAAGAACACACUGUACAAGAUACACCAACAGGACCAUCAAAAGAUGGUCCAAAGAGACCCCAGAAAACCCCCGACACAAAUGGAGAGCCGGGAAGAGAUCCGAAUGGAAGCACCAAAUAAACACCAAAAGCAAACAAAAAGAAAACUACACCAAAUAAAAGGAAAACAGAACAAAACACCACUGAAACCAACACCAGGCAGGUCAGGAAAGGAGGGCAAAGAAACACUGCGAAAGCUGGCCAGAAGGGGAGGAGGCAGGGAACCCCCACCCAACCCCCCACGCGAGCCAAGGCACACCACUCCCAGAACACCCUACCGAUGCCAGCACAGGAACCAUAAGAGUAAGACAUUGUUGUCGAUAGCGGAUUAUGGAAAAUAGAGGAACACCAAAAUUCCACUAUGUGAAAUAGGGGAUAGUGUUGCUGGAAAAUAGUGAAAGUCGCAUAGGGUUGAAAUAAGUCAAUUUUUUAUGAAAAAGGGCAAGCUGCAUACAGAUAAGAAAAAGAAUGGAGGCAAAGCAUAUCUUCUACACUGGAAGGUUUAAUUAUUACUGUUAAUAUAAGAGUAAUGCUCACCUAAUCUUCGGUUUUCUAUAGUAAAAGUAGGCCAUGUUUGGCCCAUAUGCAGAUUCUUCGGUUUUGUUUCUAAAAAAGACCCUAAAAUUCUCUUUUUCCAUUAUUACUGCUACAUCAGCUAGCAAAAACUGGAAUAGCGGGGCGGCUAUUGCGCUAAUAGUGUUGUGGUUUCCAUAGAGGAAUCACCAAAAUCCACUAUGUUACAGAGCUGCUAUUGCGGCGGCUAUUUGAUGACGCUGGAGCAGAAUAUGUUUAGUUUAGAAUUUGGUACCUGGAUCCAAGAUAAGCACAUAUUUCUGACCAUUUUUGUGAAGAGUAUCAACAAAAUUUCUCAUCUUAUCUUUCGGAAAAUUAACAGGAUCUAGAGUGAAAUCUUUAUAUGCAUCCAUGUAAUCAAUAUCUGUCCACAUAACUUCGAGGGGUAUACCAGCUUUUGCAUAGUUGGUUACUACACCCUGAACAUCAUUUACAUUCUUGUAUCCCCAUCGACAUUGAUGAAAACCUUCACAAAGAGUUAACAAUGAUGUGGAUUAGCAUAGCAAAUUGAUAUAAUUAAUCACCGUGAAUAUAAUACAAUAGAAAGACAAUUGCAAUAAACUGGUGUUAGAUUUUAAUGCCUGGAGCCCUGAACUAAUGCAUAGAAAUUUCAUAAAGUACAAUUCAAUGACUAUAGACCUUUAUAUGGUUUAAUUUUUUAUCAUCUAUGUCUAGGCCAUUCCUAACUUAAUAGGGGCUUGUCCUCCACACUUUAGUUUUCAACACCUAUAAACACAUUCUUUCAAGUUUCAUAGCAUUGGCUUUAUAUUUUGUAACUGUGGUUUGCAACAACGGUUACGGCCACAACGUAAGGGAUUCUAAAACUUCUACAACUGCAAUUCAAAAUACUAGAAGAAAAAAAAUUCAGUAGAACACCUUGAUAGAAGGUCGACUCUAGACCAGAACCUGAAAAUUUAUUCAAAACACCAAUGACAUUUGACAGGACUCAUCAUCCCCACGACUGAGUGGUUGACCUUAUCGGUGUUAGUUAGACAGAAAUACGAGUUGAGUUUUGAGCCACACAUAUCAAUUAUAUCUUGUUUGUUCCAAAUUGUAACCAAUCAGGUCACUAUCUCAGACGUUACAACAAGGAGGAAUAUGAAAUUCUACUCCCGAAAACCAAUAUCAGUCAUUGCUGAAGUUUCAAACGAUUUUUGAGUACUGAUCCACGAGUCGUGGAUCAGUACUUGAAAUUGUACACGACUGACCACGACUGGCCGCCUAUUAAAAUUGUACACCUUAUAACUUGCUAUAAACACUUGAGUAGUUGAGUUUCAACAAGUAAAACAACUAGAACUACAAGGACAAAAAGGAUUGAAAAAUUCAACAAUCCAUGCUGGACUUACCAAAAGACCAAUAAGGCAUAGGAGCAGGCCUACCAAUGAACUGAGUAUACUGAUCCAAAACCAAUUCAGGAGAUGAACCAGCAAAAAAAUACAAAUCAAAAACACCACCAAUCACCUUAUAAGUAAGACGAUCACCGCUAUAAACAACAUCCAUUCCAUUACUAUUAAGAAGUAAAACNUGUGGGAGACAAUUGAAAAUAAUCAUCAAUUUAUGUUUUGUAUACAAGAUUGGUUGAUCUAGGAGAAAACAAUGAAUGAUGGAGACAAGCCAUGUUGACUUAAAAGAUAAGAUGACAUUGUUACUAACAUUUUCCACUAAGAAGUAACAAUAGUUUUUUUUUUCUUCUUUUUUUAUUGCAAAUGUUACUAAAUUCUCCUUUGUGAGAAGAUUUUUAACUGUAGUAUUUUAACCCUACUUGAAAGGAGGUGACCUUAACUCUUUGUACUAACAAUUUUUUUGAGAGGACCACCACUUGAAAGGAUAUGAUCCAUCUUUAAACUAACCCUACUUGAAAGGAGGUGACCUUAACUCUUUCUACUAACAAUAGUUAAUAUGAUGGCGACUAUGUAAAUUGACUACUAGACAAAGAUGGGCAAUCACCAUUUUUCUUGUUCUUUUUGUUAUUAAAAAACAUAAUUAAUGAUAGCAGAUUUUUAUAUUAUAAAUUUCUAUUAAUAUGAUCGCAAAGGUUGAUCGAACUGAAAAAACCACUAGUCCAGCUCAAUGAUGGAGAGUGUUACCUGCAAACACUUGGCGCUCACAUCGCCAAGAGAAACCAUUGAGUAGUGUGUGUGUGUGUUCUCCUCGUGUGUCCCUCUCAUGUCAACGUGGCUCAUUCUUUGUUUCCUCCUACAUGAACUAACCUCUAUAAAUUUGUAGUUAUAGUCAUAGUUUUAAGAACCGGCCGGUUCAACCGUGAACCAUACCCAUUACCGGUUUGAGCCAGCUAUUGGAUCGGCCAUGUUAUUGACUCGGCUGCCACGUCAUAAACAAAGCUUAUAGCAUAAAAAAUUACAUACAAUACAAGUGUUUAUAUGUAAGCUAUUUCUAUAGGUUUAUGAGGCGUUAGCUCGAUGAUAAUAAUCUGACCUGCAAUUGCAAGAGACGGAGUUCAAAUUCAUGAGACAAUUGUAAAAUGGACAUUAACGCCACCAUAAUUUUAAUAAUAUUUCUCCUUCCCCAUUUUUUUUUAAAAUUGUUCCUUUUAAUAAACAACUAUUUCGAUAGCGAAAUAUAAAAUGAGGUCUGACUGUUUUCACAAGAUUAGCAUAGAGAGCUUGUGCAAAUAAUCCAAAAACAAUUUAUGAAUAUGUCAUAAACUGUUUUCAUAAGCUCUCGUAAACAAUCUCAAAUGUUUGUCGCGCAAUAAGCUCAAAUGGGACAAUUCAACCAGAUGUUGAUGAAUGUAUGGAAAAGGAAAGAAACACUUGAGAUAAUAUAAAUCAACUAAAUCUUGAGAUAAUAUAUAGAUUUGAUAGACAAAUAUAACUAUACUAGAUGAUACUUAUUUCUGAUCCCUUGUAGCAACCUUAACUAAGGUAAAACAAGGGACUCUUCAAAGAAGUAAAACUACUAAGAAAACACAUAUUAUUUUUGGAAAUUGCAUUCUCAAAUUUCCUUCUACCUUAUUUUAGUCUUCAGUUCAAACUGCUCUCCAAUAAGCUGUUUCAAAUUUGAAACUUCCACAGUAACAAACUUAGAAGACCUAUCAAAUUUUGUGAUCAAAACUCUUUUCCUCGUUGAAUUCAUUCCACUCACAACAUUUAACUCACUCUCAGCCAAAUCAUUUCCAUUUAACCUACCAUAAUUAGGUAUCCCCAAGAAUGUAACCUUUUCUAUGGUCCAUUUUUGGUCCAAAGCAAAUUUUCCAUUAGUAACAUUAGAAGUAACAGAAACACUGUCAUUAUUAUACAGUGCACCAUAAAAUCUCACAAGUGUCCAUUGAUCUUUCUCUCCUUCUAGAUCAAGAGCCUCACCAUCAUCCAAAUAAACUUGUCCAUAACUAUUUCCAUUUCCACUAAAAACAACCAAUAGUUCGAAUGCGGUGUUUCGAGCUGCUUUCGUUGUCAUUGCUUCACCUUGUAAGGCCAAAAUGUUACCUUCACCAACAUGCACAUUUAUGUGAUCAGAUGGUGCAUCAAGUGUGACAUAUUUGCCUGAUUCUGCACUCACUGAAUUUGAAGGAUUAAAGAGAUCAAACCAAUUUCCUUUAGGAAAGUAUGCAUCAACAGUAACUGCACCAGAUUGUAGCACAGGUGAGACUAGAACACCAUUGCCUAAUAGAAACUGCGAGUUUAUUUCGUAUGUUGUGAUAUCCUCGGGGAAUGAAAAGAAAAGUGGCCGCGCAAUUGGUGUCCCUUUUGUGUUUGAUUCGUACAUUAGUGUGUAGAAAUAUGGAAGAAGGCGGUAACGAAGGGCGAGCACUUUUCGAGCUGAUGCUGCAACUGAAUCCCAAAGGUAAAGCUCUUGCCUGAUGGAACUUUUAUCUGAAUGAUCUCUUGCAAAGGGGUAGAAGGCCCCUAACUACAUUCAAGAAAAUAAAAAAGUAUUAGAUAUGCAUGCAAUGAUGGAAAUAUUUUCCAUCAGGGUUUUAAAAACUUAGGUACUGUUCUAUAGAAACUGUUCCUACUGUUCUCAACUUACAGAUAGUGUAACUGUCACCAACAAUUUUGAAUGGAUGUGAAAAACUGUCCUUUUUGUUAGAAAAAGUAAGAGUACAGCACACAUUGAAUCUAAGUUUAGUCCUUUAAAGAAAGGCCUACCGCGCGAUGUGGAAAGUGACAUUAAGAUUUUUUAUGUUUAUACGACUGCAAUUGCGGCUUUAUCACCACGAUUCUCUGAAAUAUAAGAAUCGCAGCGUGUCUGCAAUUUAAAACCUUUCUUUACCUGUAGCCAAAAAUCACAGCUCUAUCCAUGUGUAACUUUUAUAAAUUUAGUCUAGUGAAAAAGUUGUGGAUGCUAUCCGAUUUUGAGGAUCAAUGUUUGUUACCUGAAUCCAGCGCCGACAAAGUUCUUCAGUAGUGUCUGCUGAGAAGCCGCAUAUAUCCGCUCCAACCAUAGGAACUCCAAAGAUUCCAAAGUUUAAUAUUGAUGGGAUUGAGUAUGCUAAAUCAUUCCAUGUAGCAGCAUUAUCUCCUGUCCAAUGAGCUGUAUACUUGCCAGAGCUAACAAAAGUUGAUCUACUCAAAAUGAAUGGUCUUUUACUAGUUAUUUCCACUAAGGCCCUGUUGGUUGUUUUGGAUUCUAAGAGACCAUACAAAUUGUGAGAAUCAUACUCAGUGAUAUUACCAUAAUGUAAAGAAGUUGCUGGCACCGUUUUAUUGUUGAUUGGUCGUUGAACGCCAGUACUGUUAAUUUUGUAAGGAGGGCUGUCAAGAUUAGAAUGAGGAGUGUCAUUCGAAGUUAUGAAAUUUGAUAACUCAUUCAUGUCAAGCCAAAUACCAUCAAAAGGGAGAAGUUCCCUAAAUAAUUUGAUUUCUUCACCCCAAAAUUCUUGGCUAUGAGGGUUAAGAAAAUCAGGAUAGUAAACUGGUCCUGGCCAAACUUCACCUAGAUAAUUGACUCCAUUUCUCUUUAGAUAGACAUCAGCUUGUAAGCCUCUAACAUAGGUUGCAUAUGUGUUAUUUACACUGAUACCUGUGUACAAAAAAGCAAUGACAUGUGCAUAUAUAUAUAUAUUUUUUUGAAUGGCAAAUAUAUAAUAUAGAAAAAGAACACACUGUACAAGAUACACCAACAGGACCAUCAAAAGAUGGUCCAAAGAGACCCCAGAAAACCCCCGACACAAAUGGAGAGCCGGGAAGAGAUCCGAAUGGAAGCACCAAAUAAACACCAAAAGCAAACAAAAAGAAAACUACACCAAAUAAAAGGAAAACAGAACAAAACACCACUGAAACCAACACCAGGCAGGUCAGGAAAGGAGGGCAAAGAAACACUGCGAAAGCUGGCCAGAAGGGGAGGAGGCAGGGAACCCCCACCCAACCCCCCACGCGAGCCAAGGCACACCACUCCCAGAACACCCUACCGAUGCCAGCACAGGAACCAUAAGAGUAAGACAUUGUUGUCGAUAGCGGAUUAUGGAAAAUAGAGGAACACCAAAAUUCCACUAUGUGAAAUAGGGGAUAGUGUUGCUGGAAAAUAGUGAAAGUCGCAUAGGGUUGAAAUAAGUCAAUUUUUUAUGAAAAAGGGCAAGCUGCAUACAGAUAAGAAAAAGAAUGGAGGCAAAGCAUAUCUUCUACACUGGAAGGUUUAAUUAUUACUGUUAAUAUAAGAGUAAUGCUCACCUAAUCUUCGGUUUUCUAUAGUAAAAGUAGGCCAUGUUUGGCCCAUAUGCAGAUUCUUCGGUUUUGUUUCUAAAAAAGACCCUAAAAUUCUCUUUUUCCAUUAUUACUGCUACAUCAGCUAGCAAAAACUGGAAUAGCGGGGCGGCUAUUGCGCUAAUAGUGUUGUGGUUUCCAUAGAGGAAUCACCAAAAUCCACUAUGUUACAGAGCUGCUAUUGCGGCGGCUAUUUGAUGACGCUGGAGCAGAAUAUGUUUAGUUUAGAAUUUGGUACCUGGAUCCAAGAUAAGCACAUAUUUCUGACCAUUUUUGUGAAGAGUAUCAACAAAAUUUCUCAUCUUAUCUUUCGGAAAAUUAACAGGAUCUAGAGUGAAAUCUUUAUAUGCAUCCAUGUAAUCAAUAUCUGUCCACAUAACUUCGAGGGGUAUACCAGCUUUUGCAUAGUUGGUUACUACACCCUGAACAUCAUUUACAUUCUUGUAUCCCCAUCGACAUUGAUGAAAACCUUCACAAAGAGUUAACAAUGAUGUGGAUUAGCAUAGCAAAUUGAUAUAAUUAAUCACCGUGAAUAUAAUACAAUAGAAAGACAAUUGCAAUAAACUGGUGUUAGAUUUUAAUGCCUGGAGCCCUGAACUAAUGCAUAGAAAUUUCAUAAAGUACAAUUCAAUGACUAUAGACCUUUAUAUGGUUUAAUUUUUUAUCAUCUAUGUCUAGGCCAUUCCUAACUUAAUAGGGGCUUGUCCUCCACACUUUAGUUUUCAACACCUAUAAACACAUUCUUUCAAGUUUCAUAGCAUUGGCUUUAUAUUUUGUAACUGUGGUUUGCAACAACGGUUACGGCCACAACGUAAGGGAUUCUAAAACUUCUACAACUGCAAUUCAAAAUACUAGAAGAAAAAAAAUUCAGUAGAACACCUUGAUAGAAGGUCGACUCUAGACCAGAACCUGAAAAUUUAUUCAAAACACCAAUGACAUUUGACAGGACUCAUCAUCCCCACGACUGAGUGGUUGACCUUAUCGGUGUUAGUUAGACAGAAAUACGAGUUGAGUUUUGAGCCACACAUAUCAAUUAUAUCUUGUUUGUUCCAAAUUGUAACCAAUCAGGUCACUAUCUCAGACGUUACAACAAGGAGGAAUAUGAAAUUCUACUCCCGAAAACCAAUAUCAGUCAUUGCUGAAGUUUCAAACGAUUUUUGAGUACUGAUCCACGAGUCGUGGAUCAGUACUUGAAAUUGUACACGACUGACCACGACUGGCCGCCUAUUAAAAUUGUACACCUUAUAACUUGCUAUAAACACUUGAGUAGUUGAGUUUCAACAAGUAAAACAACUAGAACUACAAGGACAAAAAGGAUUGAAAAAUUCAACAAUCCAUGCUGGACUUACCAAAAGACCAAUAAGGCAUAGGAGCAGGCCUACCAAUGAACUGAGUAUACUGAUCCAAAACCAAUUCAGGAGAUGAACCAGCAAAAAAAUACAAAUCAAAAACACCACCAAUCACCUUAUAAGUAAGACGAUCACCGCUAUAAACAACAUCCAUUCCAUUACUAUUAAGAAGUAAAACACCAUGUGUAGUCCCACUUUUCACUCUUCCAUCAGAUGAACCCUUUCUCACAUCCAAAUAAAAUGGAUGAGAGCCAUAAAGAUUCACAUCAACAUUAGAACUACCAAUAUCUUCAUUCCAAAGAGUGAAAGUUUGGUUUGGUUUCAACUUGAAAGAACUCUUUGUAUGCUCUCCAAAACCAUACAGAGAAGCUCUUUUUGAAGGCAGAGAGGUAGAAAUCUGCAAGUACUGUUCUUUGAAGACUAGAAAUGUUUCAGGGUUUAAAGGGUCUUCUGGUAAAGUGUUAAAGAGUAUAUCUUUGUUGGAUUUACGCGUGAUAGUGAAACCAAAUGGAGUUGUGUUGUGGAGUGUGAAGAUAAGAUCUGAGUUUGGAUGUGUAAUUAUGUAUUUUGAGUUUUGCGAAUUUUGUUGACGAAAAUGAUGAGAUAGAGAUGAAGAUGAUGAGUCUCUUGGAAUCAAUUCUUCUGGAACUUCCCAUCUUUGAUUAUUUGAAUCAGUGAUUCUUACUCUUAAUUUAUCCUUGGCCUCAAAACUGCAAUUCAGAGUUGAAAAUUUAGUCUUAUUUUGAACCAAAAAAAGUUUAAUAAUUUACUCAUAAAUAGAAACAUGGAUAUAAUCAUAUGAUUAUAUAUGUUUGAUUGCUUUUGAAACAAAAAAACAAUCUAGUAAAAUAAAAAGGACAACAAAAAAACAAUAAACUAUGAUUGGUUAUUGGUUAGUUAGUUAGUUAGUUACCUGGCACUGAGGUUGAGAAGUGGAAUGUCGGGUCCGAAAACCGAGGAGGAUUUGAUGAGUUUAAGGUUAGCAGACAAAGAUUUUCCUGUUGGAUCACUUUUUACACUUAUGAUUGUGUAGCCAUAACCAACUUGUGUUUCUUUUGAUGGUGAAUCUGCAACAGUUUGGGAUAAGAUGACAAAAACAUUGAAACAGAAAGCUAGUAGUGGUAGUAGAAUGUUGCUGGUUUUAGUUCUUGGACUUGUAACCAUUUUGUUUGUGUUGAUGUGUUUAUUGUCUGUGGGAGACAAUUGAAAAUAAUCAUCAAUUUAUGUUUUGUAUACAAGUUUGGU